UACGAAGGGGGCUAGCGUUGCUCGGAAUUACUGGGCGUAAAGGGCGCGUAGGCGGAUGUCUAAGUUGGGGGUGAAAGCCCGGGGCUCAACCUCGGAAUAGCCUUCAAUACUGGAUAUCUUGAGUUCGGGAGAGGUGAGUGGAAUGCCGAGUGUAGAGGUGAAAUUCGUAGAUAUUCGGCGGAACACCAGUGGCGAAGGCGACUCACUGGCCCGAUACUGACGCUGAGGCGCGAAAGCCAGGGGAGCAAACGGG
rnacentral:rRNA from 1 species